CCUACGGGUGGCAGCAGGGAGGAAUAGUGGGCAAUGGACGAGAGGCGGAACCAGCCAAGGAGCGUGAAGGAGGACUGCCCGAUGGGGUGUAAACUUCUUUUAUAUGGGAAUAAAAUGUUCCACGUGUGGGAUUUUGUAUGUACCAUAUGAAUAAGGAUCGGCUAACCCCGUGCCAGCAGCCGCGGUAAUACGGAGGAUCCGAGCGUUAUCCGGAUUUAUUGGGUUUAAAGGGAGAGUAGGUGGAUUGUUAAGUCAGCGGUAAAAUUGCGGGGCUCACCCCCGUCGAGCCGUUGAAACUGGCAGACUUGAGUUGGCGAGAAGUACGCGGAAUGCGCGGUGUAGCGGUGAAAUGCAUAGAUAUCGCGCAGAACUCCGAUUGCGAAGGCAGCGUACCGGCGCCAGACUGACGCUGAGGCACGAAAGCGUGGGGAUCGAACAGGAUUAGCUACCCCAGUAGUC
rnacentral:rRNA from 1 species